rnacentral:ribozyme from 14 species
UUUUUUUUUUCUUUUUCUUGCUCCCAAUUUUCAUGUUGAAAAAAAGAGAGAGAGAGCUCU